UUAAGCGACUAAGCGUACACGGUGGAUGCCCUGGCAGUCAGAGGCGAUGAAGGACGUGCUAAUCUGCGAUAAGCGUCGGUAAGGUGAUAUGAACCGUUAUAACCGGCGAUUUCCGAAUGGGGAAACCCAGUGUGAUUCGUCACACUAUCAUUAACUGAAUCCAUAGGUUAAUGAGGCGAACCGGGGGAACUGAAACAUCUAAGUACCCCGAGGAAAAGAAAUCAACCGAGAUUCCCCCAGUAGCGGCGAGCGAACGGGGAGCAGCCCAGAGCCUGAAUCAGUGUGUGUGUUAGUGGAAGCGUCUGGAAAGGCGCGCGAUACAGGGUGACAGCCCCGUACACAAAAAUGCACAUAUUGUGAGCUCGAUGAGUAGGGCGGGACACGUGGUAUCCUGUCUGAAUAUGGGGGGACCAUCCUCCAAGGCUAAAUACUCCUGACUGACCGAUAGUGAACCAGUACCGUGAGGGAAAGGCGAAAAGAACCCCGGCGAGGGGAGUGAAAAAGAACCUGAAACCGUGUACGUACAAGCAGUGGGAGCACGCUUAGGCGUGUGACUGCGUACCUUUUGUAUAAUGGGUCAGCGACUUAUAUUCUGUAGCAAGGUUAACCGAAUAGGGGAGCCGAAGGGAAACCGAGUCUUAACUGGGCGUUAAGUUGCAGGGUAUAGACCCGAAACCCGGUGAUCUAGCCAUGGGCAGGUUGAAGGUUGGGUAACACUAACUGGAGGACCGAACCGACUAAUGUUGAAAAAUUAGCGGAUGACUUGUGGCUGGGGGUGAAAGGCCAAUCAAACCGGGAGAUAGCUGGUUCUCCCCGAAAGCUAUUUAGGUAGCGCCUCGUGAAUUCAUCUCCGGGGGUAGAGCACUGUUUCGGCAAGGGGGUCAUCCCGACUUACCAACCCGAUGCAAACUGCGAAUACCGGAGAAUGUUAUCACGGGAGACACACGGCGGGUGCUAACGUCCGUCGUGAAGAGGGAAACAACCCAGACCGCCAGCUAAGGUCCCAAAGUCAUGGUUAAGUGGGAAACGAUGUGGGAAGGCCCAGACAGCCAGGAUGUUGGCUUAGAAGCAGCCAUCAUUUAAAGAAAGCGUAAUAGCUCACUGGUCGAGUCGGCCUGCGCGGAAGAUGUAACGGGGCUAAACCAUGCACCGAAGCUGCGGCAGCGAC
rnacentral:rRNA from 1 species